GAUGAAGAACGUAGCGAAAUGCGAUACGUAGUGUGAAUUGCAGAAUUCCGUGAAUCAUCGAAUCUUUGAACGCAUAUUGCGGUCGAGGCUUCGGCCAAGACCAUGUCUGCCUCAGCGUCGGUGUGAACCCUCACUCCCCCUCACGGGUGGAGUGGACCUGGCCUCCUCAGCCCCCGCGGCUGGGUUGGCUGAAAUUCGGAGGCUCCCGCUCGGGCCUGUAUGGCAGCAGCAAGGUAGGUAGUUUACUACUCCGGCUGAUGCUUUGGGCACGCGACAUGAGCCCGCAGGAAAUUCUCACCUUUUCGACCUGAGAUCAGGCAAGGCUACCCGCUGAACUUAAGCAUAUCAAUAAGCGGAGGA
rnacentral:misc_RNA from 1 species